GAAGCAAAGCCGCGAGGUAGAGCAAAUCUCAAAAAAACAAUCUCAGUUCAGACUGCAGGCUGCAACUCGCCUACACGAAGUCGGAAUUGCUAGUAAUCGUAGGUCAGCAUACUACGGUGAAUACGUUCCCGGGCCUUGUACACACCGCCCGUCAAACCAUGAGAGUUGGCAACACCCGAAGUCGGUAGUCUAACCGCAAGGAGGACGCCGCCGAAGGUGGGGUUGAUGAUUAGGGUUAAGUCGUAACAAGGUAAC
rnacentral:rRNA from 1 species